AUGAUCAGUACCAAGCCAGCCUCCAUUGAACGAGCAUGUGUGCACCAUGUCUCAGCUACAGAAGCUCAAGAUGAUCUCGACGUCGUACUGGGUACGCUUCUUGUCAAUUGUCACCCAGCUUCAGCUCUGUUCGAUACUGGAGCAUCCCACUCCUUCAUAUCCGAAGGUUACGCUCGGUUGCACGACAUGUCAUUUUGUGAUAUGCCGACUCCACUAAUAAUACAGACUCCUGGUUCCAAAUGGCAAACCUCCAAGGUAAGCCAUGGUAAUGAAAUCCUUGUUGACAGACUGGUAUUCCUUGCUUCUUUGAUAUCUCUCAAGUCUUCAGAUAUUAACAUCAUCUUGGGAAUGGACUGGAUGACAGCUCAUCAUGCCAAGAUCGAUUGUUACACUAGAUCUGUUCAACUUACACAUCCAUCUGGCAAAAUAGUCACUGUCUCCACUAGAGUUGCAAGGCGUCAACUCUAUUCUCUUAAUGCCAGCCCUUUUCUAGACCUUGAAGAUAUUCCGGUAGUCCAUGACUUCCCGGAUGUUUUUCCAGAAGAAUUGCCAGGUGUCCCACCUAACAAAGAUGUAGAGUUUGUCAUAAAACUUAUCCCAGGAACUGUUCCAAUCUCUAGGAGACCAUACAAGAUGGCACCUUUGGAGUUAGCCGAGCUUAAGAAACAACUUGAUGAGUCCUUGCAAAAGGGUUUCAUCCGUCCCAGUUCUUCUCCUUGGGCUUGUCCUGUCCUCUUCGUCAAGAAGAAGGAUGGUAUGGAUUGGAUGGUUGUAGAUUAUUGUCUCGUUAAUUUAGUCACGAUAAAGAACAAGUAUCCGCUCCCCAGGAUCAACGACCUGUAUGAUCAGCUCGCUGGAUCCUCAGUCUUUUCCAAGAUGGAUUUGAGGUUAGGCUACCACCAAAUCAAGAUCAGAAACAGGGACAUCCCCAAAACGGCCUUUGUCACUCGUUAUGGUCAAUAG
rnacentral:rRNA from 1 species